rnacentral:misc_RNA from 1 species
UGGUUCUGGCAUCGAUGAAGAACGCAGCGAAAUGCGAUAAGUAGUGUGAAUUGCAGAAUUCAGUGAAUCAUCGAAUCUUUGAACGCACAUUGCGCCCCUUGGUAUUCCAUGGGGCAUGCCUGUUCGAGCGUCAUUUGAACCCUCAAGCUUUGCUUGGUGUUGGGUGUUUGUCCCGCUUUUGCGCGUGGACUCGCCUUAAAGUCAUUGGCAGCCAUGUAAUUCGGCUUUGAGCGCAGCACAUUGCGACCUCUAUGCUGGUACAUUGGCAUCCAGAAGCCUUUUUUUACACUUGACCUCGGAUCAGGUAGGGAUACCCGCUGA